UUCGCGUUGCGGUUUUUUUGCGCAGCUUUCGCUAGCCGGCCGUUUGUGUCGUUCUAUUCUAUUCCAACCCGUUCCCCCCCUCUCUCUCUCUCUCUCUCACUCUCUCUCUCUCUCUCUCUCUCCCUCUUUCUCUCUUUUUCGAUCUCUCCACACUCUAGCAUACCUUCGCUCGGUCUUCCCCGCUUCUUCUCCUUCGCGGUUUUCAUUCAUAAUAUUGUUUUGUUUUCUUGCCGGAUAUUUAUCGUCAAGUAGUAGCGCGCUGACGUCACUGUUAUUGAUUAUAGAGCAAUAUUUCCGCGGAACUUGUUAGUCGCUGCGAAAGCAACCCUUGAAAAUCGGGGCACUGAAGUAAUUGUCUUUGGAAAACGUACCGGCGGCCGCGGAAGUGUUUGUGAACUCGAAUUAUCAAUUUUUAAAAAGUGUCGGCGGACUGUUGCUGUUGGACUGCGGAUUUCGUGCAUUUAUGGCAAGUAUUGGCGGAUCGGACUAGUUUUGUUAUUGCGACGAACAAUUUUUAAUUUGACACGCUCGAAAGAAUUGUGUACGGGAGUACGCGUUAAAAUGUGCACAGUUGCGAGAGUUCAAGGUCGUUAGAAAGCUUGCACAAUCGGAGCCACCUCCUCCAAACUGUAAACUUCAAUAACCAGCAAAACACCACUGAAUAUUCACCGGAGCAGGAAACACAAACUCCGCCGGCUCUGAACAAGAAGCAUAUUGAAAAAUUGCAAGUUCAUGCCGGAGCAAGAUCUAUCGAGGAGCUUCUGCCACUUCUCCAAGUGACGACAAUCUGACGAAGUAUCAGAUUCUCGCAGAAAACUUGCGCGCUAGCACUGUCGUAGCCUGGAUUCCAAAUAGUUUCUCCUGGCGCACGACAUGGAGAUAGGAUCUCCGUUAAUAUUCCAGUACACGGUUAAUUAUCACGAUCAAUAGAGAGGACUAGCCGACAUCGAGCUGGGUCUCAGGGAAAGAACGAAUGCAAGGAAUCAAUUCCGCUACGAAGAUAGUCUCUUACAUGGUCGCGUGUAUGGGUGUGCGUGUGCGUACCACGUAUCCCGAACGGGACUCGACUUGGCGAGCGAUAAGAUCAGUCGCGUGAGCCAAUUCAGGGGUAGUAUGCCCCAAAUGGCUAGUCUCAUUUCCCUCUUCUCUAAGUAGUUUGGUAUUUGUAUUGCCAGCCCUAUAUAUAGUCGCUUUCGAUACUCUAUCAUCACCUCCAUCGAUACAGUCUCGAGAUCUACGUGUUCUUCUUUGAGUUUUUUAUUUUUUUCCGUCGAAUAUGCAAACUACUAACUAGAACACACAGAGAAAUUGUUUGCAUUUUAAUGUAUAACGAUUUAUUAAAGAUGUGUCGACGAUUCUGUUUAGUAAGAAUGACAUUUUUGAAGCAACAAUGUAAAAAAGUGCUAAAUCUCGAACUCAAAAUCAUGCAACACAGCCAAGCUAAUAUAAUCGUUUUAAUCCUAGAACCUGUGGCGGCUACCUCCAGACCCGCCAGCAGAGGGCUCCUCUUCCCGCUAGUAACCGAUCCGCCU